rnacentral:rRNA from 1 species
GACGAACGCUGGCGGCGUGCCUAACACAUGCAAGUUGAGCGACGAACCAGGGCUUGCCCUGGGGCAAAGCAGCGAACGGGUGAGUAACACGUGGGUAACCUACCCCGAUAACCGGGACAACCCGAGGAAACUCGGGCUAAUACCGGAUGUGCUCACUGGACUUCGGUUCAGUGCGUAAAGGAAGCUUCGGCCUCCGUAUCGGGAGGGGCCCGCGGCCCAUUAGUUUGUUGGUGAGGUAACGGCUCACCAAGACCGCGAUGGGUAGCUGGUCUGAGAGGACGAUAGGCCACACUGGGACUGAGACACGGCCCAGACUCCUACGGGAGGCAGCAGUGGGGAAUCUUGCGCAAUGCGCGAAAGCGUGACGCAGCAACGCCGCGUGGGGGAAGAAGGCCUUCGGGUUGUAAACCCCUUUCAGGAGGGACGAAGGUUCGGCGGUGAAUAGCCGUCCGGACUGACGGUACCUCCACAAGAAGCCCCGGCUAACUACGU